CCUACGGGUGGCAGCAGUGGGGAAUAUUGGACAAUGGGGGCAACCCUGAUCCAGCCAUGCCGCGUGUGUGAAGAAGGCCCUCGGGUUGUAAAGCACUUUCAGUGAGGAAGAACGCCUGGUGGUUAAUACCCAUCAGGAAAGACAUCACUCACAGAAGAAGCACCGGCUAACUCCGUGCCAGCAGCCGCGGUAAUACGGAGGGUGCGAGCGUUAAUCGGAAUUACUGGGCGUAAAGCGCGCGUAGGUGGCUGGAUAAGCCGGUUGUGAAAGCCCCGGGCUCAACCUGGGAACGGCAUCCGGAACUGUCAAGCUAGGGUGCAGGAGAGGAAGGUAGAAUUCCCGGUGUAGCGGUGAAAUGCGUAGAGAUCGGGAGGAAUACCAGUGGCGAAGGCGGCCUUCUGGACUGACACUGACACUGAGGUGCGAAAGCGUGGGUAGCAAACAGGAUUAGAUACCCCAGUAGUC
rnacentral:rRNA from 1 species